rnacentral:rRNA from 1 species
UACGGGGGGGGCAAGCGUUGUUCGGAAUUACUGGGCGUAGAGGGCCAGUAGGCGGCCAACUAAGUCGGAUGUGAAAUCCCCAGGCUUAACCUGGGAACUGCAUCCGAUACUGGAUGGCUUGAAUUCGGGAGAGGGAUGCAGAAUUCCAGGUGUAGCGGUGAAAUGCGUAGAUAUCUGGAGGAAUACCGGUGGCGAAGGCGGCAUCCUGGACCGACAUUGACGCUGAACGGCGAAAGCUAGGGGAGCAAACGGG